AGCGAACGCUGGCGGCAGGCCUAACACAUGCAAGUCGAACGAACUCUUCGGAGUUAGUGGCGGACGGGUGAGUAACACGUGGGAACGUGCCUUUAGGUUCGGAAUAACUCAGGGAAACUUGUGCUAAUACCGAAUGUGCCCUUCGGGGGAAAGAUUUAUCGCCUUUAGAGCGGCCCGCGUCUGAUUAGCUAGUUGGUGAGGUAAAGGCUCACCAAGGCGACGAUCAGUAGCUGGUCUGAGAGGAUGAUCAGCCACAUUGGGACUGAGACACGGCCCAAACUCCUGCGGGAGGCAGCAGUGGGGAAUCUUGCGCAAUGGGCGAAAGCCUGACGCAGCCAUGCCGCGUGAAUGAUGAAGGUCUUAGGAUUGUAAAAUUCUUUCACCGGGGACGAUAAGGACGGUACCCGGAGAAGAAGCCCCGGCUAACUUCGU
rnacentral:rRNA from 1 species